rnacentral:rRNA from 1 species
CACUAUGCCUAGCCCUAAACAUCGACAGUAAACUACGCCCACUGUCCGCCUGGGAACUACGAGCGCUAGCUUAAAACCCAAAGGACUUGGCGGUGCUUUAGACCCACCUAGAGGAGCCUGUCCUAGAACCGAUAAUCCCCGUUCAACCUCACCCUUCCUUGUUUUAUCCGCCUAUAUACCGCCGUCGUCAGCUUACCCUGUGAAGGCUCAAAAGUAAGCGAAAUCGGUACAGCCCCAAACGUCAGGUCGAGGUGUAGCGUAUGGAAGGGGAAGAGAUGGGCUACAUUCACUGACACAGUGAAAUACGAAUGAUUGCUCUGAAACGAGAAUCUGAAGGAGGAUUUAGCAGUAAGCAAAAAGUAGAGUGUUUUGCUGAAGUUGGCCCUGAAGCGUGCACACACCGCCCGUCACUCUCCCCUAUUCAACUUGGAAUAAUAACUUAUAUACCCUACAGAAACUGCGGGGAGACAAGUCGUAA